CCGAUUUGCCACCAUAACCUGAUUUUGACUAUACUGUGACUCCCCAUUCUUUUCUGUUGCCCCGAGAUGGUAUCAAAGCUUCUGCACCCCAUGGGAGAGGUAAUUACUCUGUGGUUCUUACCGGUGUGAUAUUAAUAAAUUUGUAUGCCUUUUCCCCAAAUUAAUCUGCCUUUUGUGAGUUGAUUUUUUUUUUCUUUCAGCGAAACUUCAGGGGCAAAAGGGAAGCCUUCCCUUGGCUCUGACAGUUUAUAUAUAUACUCUUCUGAAACAAAAAUCAAUGAUACAGAUGAAAGAGAAAGAGAAUUGCUGGGUGGUAUUUUUGAGAAGAUGACGUGCUUUACUGUACAAAUUGAUAGUUUGACCUUAGUUUUUCAUCCGUUUGAUUAGAACAGCAAUUAUGGAUAAGGAUAUGAACAUAUUGACAGAUGAAGUAUAAAUUUUUUCAUCCACUGCAACAAAGGAGGUAAUGUUUUAUAGUGAUGCUACCAGUGGUGAAUCCGUACAGGUCUGCAGCAACCUCAAUUCUUGCCUCCUCAGAAGAAAGAAUUCAACUGAGGGAAAGGCAGAAGAAGAGACAGAGACCUCCUUGAUCAUGUCCAGACCUGGUGGAUCAGCCCUUGCCACACCCUGAACUAGACCUGUUCACAGAUGGAAGCAGCUUCAUAGACCAUGCAUGUUAUUGUGCUGGAUACACAGCCGUUAUAUCUCAAGGUACUGUGGAAGAAAAAGCAUUACUUCCAGAUACCUCAGCUCAACUGGCCAAUCUCAUUGCCCUUACGCAUAACCUGCAAUUGGGAUGAAGACCAAGUCCUAUUUAAGACAAGGAGGGAACUGGACCAGAUCAUCAACUAGCCCCUCAAUGGUUAAGACCCUAUGAGGUCCUUCUGACUACUCAUUCAUGUGUAAAGUUGGCCAGAGUUAAACCAUGGAUACAUUCUACAUGGAUAAAAAUUGCCCCUCCUCAGACUGGUCUGUCACAUAAUGGACCUGAAUGAACCUGUGAAACAACUGAAAACCUGAAGCUGCUUUUUAAGAAAAUCUACACAGAUAAGUAAAACCUUUUGUCAUUUAAUCAUGAGAUUCUGGCUAAUCCCCACAGUAAUAUAUGGGGUUAGGCUGUUUGCUGAAACUAAUCAUUUCCUACCAUGGGCGCAUUAUGCAGAUAGCUGAAAACAGGAAACUUAUUGGGUUUGGGGCUGUUCCAGUCUCUAGCAUUUCUGGAUUACCUUAGUGGGUCUCACCCCUACAAGGUAAUAAUGGAUUACAAACCUUUAUGAAAAACUAUUCACAAGAAAAUCAGACCCCUGGGAUCCUAACAAAAGGAAAUGGAAGGUGAUGGCUUGGCAUUAAUGUAACCCUUCACCAUGCAUGUCACAGAAAACCUUGUAUAUACAUCAGAGAAUUCAACAAAUUCUGAGUGUGGUAUUUCUCUCCUGAUGGAGUUUCCCUCAGUAGAACUCAUAAUUUUGUCUAUUAACAGCUGCUAUACUGAGGAAGGCUUUUAUCAAAUUUGGGAUGAUUAUAUUUGGAUGACCCCCACUACCAGCCACUUACAUCAAAUUGCUCUCUUAUGCUGGAAACCAAAAGUUAUUCUUUUGAUUAUUGGCCAAAUAUUACUAAGAAUGUGGGCUGGAUGCCUCCACACUGGUGUGAAGAUACUCCAGUGCUUCAAUAAACCCACUGGUUCACUACUGAUUGGACACAGAGGCUGUGUGGGACUAAUGAUUGGAACUCACUACUGAGUGGUGAUUGGAAAUCACUACUGAUUGGAACUCAUUGGCUAUGUGGGACUAAUCGUUGGCCCUGGCUGCCCAUUGCAUGGAUAGAAUGGUGCAUGUUGGGUUUCCCAUUGGUCCAGAACCAUUUGACCAAAACCACUGGACAAACUGCAAAUUUCUCUAAUGUGUUGUACCAAUGGAACAGACCAGUUUUCCACUGAUAAGACCAUGUCCUAUCUAAUUUUAAUCCCCAAGUUACUUUAGAAAAUAUUAUCUGGCAUGUCAAGACCCUCACAAACUAUAACCAACAAGUGCUAAAGGAUGAAUUCAAAGACAUCUUUUUAGUGACUCUGAAAUGACCACAAGGAGAAAAGCAGCCUUGCAGAAUUUCAUGGCCCUUGAAGUUCUCAUGCUGCACAAGGGGGAACUUGUACCAUAAACAAAACCAAAUGCUAUGUGUACAUUCCAGACAAUUCAGGAAACAUCACCCUGACCCUUCAAGAUAUGCACAAAAAUUUAAUGCUAUGUCCAACCCCACAAUGUCACUAAACCAAUAGUUAUCUUUGUGGUUUAGAUUAGAACCCUCUUAGUGGAAAACAAUAUUAAUAAUUCUAGCUGUGAGUAUAGGAAUAGAAAUAUUUUGUUGUUGUGGAUUAUAUUGCUAUUGUAUUACAUGUAUGAUAUUGCAAGAUUGCCUCUCUCAGAGGCUCCCGACAACCUGUUUAGUGAUGUUGCAACAAAUUGCCUCUGUACAACCUGGGACUCUUGAGUAUUUCCAACUGCUGGUAACUAAGUUCCUUUCCUUGGCCCCAUAGCAACACCCCUUUCGGAGGAAGUAGUUAGAAUGAGUCAACACCCCAACUCUUCAGUACUGAGGCAUGAAACAGUGACAGUGGGGAUGUUGUAACUGAGCCUAUAUGAUAAAAAUCCUAAGAUGUUUGUUUUACUUAUCUUCCUCUUUCUUUGUCUUUUUCUUUCUCCAUGUAUGAUAACUUGUACUUAAGUCAUUUCAGUAGAGGUGGUCACCAACUCACUAAUAACUGAUUAACUUCAUAUCCUGACUCCUGGUGGCUGCCAAUAAGAUUAAUGAACCUUUUUUUUCAUUCAAAGAACAAUAAUCCUUAUAUCAUGCAGACCUCCUUGAUGUUGUCCAGAAGUUUGAUCAGCCAAGGGAGGUAAGCAGCUUUGAUCAUUGAGGUCUCACCUCCUACAUACCUACUGUAUUCAUAAAUGUUCAAAGGCAGUAAUGUUCAAAGGCAGGUCAGAUUAAAUAUUUUGCCUGUCCUGUCUUGAGGAUUUGGCCAAAUUGUAUAAACCUUUCUCUGCUCCUAAGCACUAAUGUGUCAGUAUUUGGCUUAGGAUGCAUGCAGUACUUGAAACUUGCUUUUGGUG